rnacentral:rRNA from 1 species
AUGAGCAGAGCAGAGCAGAGCAGAGCAGCCGGCCAGCUUCCUUCCACAAUGGCCGCGGAGACUCCUCCAACGCAACACCGCUCCUCUUGCUCUUCUUCAUCUUGCUACCUGCACCGGCGGCUUCCUCUUCUUCAUCUUGCUCUGCUGCUGCACAUCAUCUUCUUCUUCUUCUUGUGCUCCUCCUUCCCGGCCGUCUCACGAGCUCAGAUGCCUGGCUUCCUCAGCAUCGACUGCGGCGGCGCCGCCAACUACACGGACGCCCGGGGCCUGCGCUGGACCUCCGACGCCGCCCUCAUCGCCACCGGCACACCCAUCUCAACCCUCAACACCUCCACCUCCCCCCAAGAACAAGAACAGGAGACGCAGUACACCACCCUGCGCGCCUUCCCGUCCGACGGCGCCAAGCACUGCUACGCGCUCCCCGUCGCCACCCGCGCGCGCUACCUCGUCCGCGCCACCUUCCUCUACGCCGGCUUCGACGGCGACGACGCCUUCCCGGAGUUCGACCUCUACCUCGGCGCCACCCGCUGGUCCCCCAUCGUCGUCUACGACGGCGCACGCCUCGUCACAAGGGAAGCCGUCGUCUUGGCCCAGUCUGCAAGCAUCUCCGUCUGCCUCUCCAACGCCACCACGGGGCGGCCGUUUAUAUCCACCCUAGAGCUCCGGCCGCUCAACGGGUCGCUGUACCGCACCGACGCCGAGGCCCGCGCCUUCCUCGCCCUCGCCGCCCGCAUCAACUUCGGCGCCCCCUCGCCAGAUCCGGUCAGGUAUCCUGAUGAUCCAUACGACCGGAUAUGGGAGUCGGACAUGGUACGGCGGGCCAACUACCUGGUCGACGCGGCACCCGGCACCGUCAACGUGUCCACCGACAAGCCGGUGUUCGUCGCCACGAGCGAGAGGCCGCCGGAGAAGGUGAUGCAGACCGCUGUUGUAGGCACCCUCGGAGAGCUCACCUACCGGCUCAACCUCAACGGCUUCCCGGGCGAUGGCUGGGCCUUCUCCUACUUUGCCGAGAUCGAGGAGUCCGUCGUCCCCGAGACGCGCAAGUUCAAGCUCUUCAUCCCUGGCCUGCCCGAUGUUAGCAAGGCCACCGUUGAUGUCGGUGAGAAUGCUCCUGGGAAGUUACGGCUCUACCAGCCAGGCUACUACAACGUGUCACUCCCCUUCGUGUUGUCAUUCGCGUUCAGAAAGACCAACGACUCAUCCAGGGGACCAAUUCUCAACGCAUUCGAGAUCUACAAGUAUGUUGCGAUCGAGCCCGGGUCCCCGGACGCACUUGCCAUGGCGAGCCUCGCGUCGCGGUACUCAUCCUUCGGUGAUUGGGCCAACGAGGGCGGCGAUCCCUGCUGGCCCUCGCCGUGGUCCUGGGUCAGAUGCUCCUCAGAACCACAACUUAGAGUAGUUUCAAUAAAUCUUUCAGGGAAGAACUUGACAGGGAGCAUACCUCCGGAACUAGUGGCUUUAUCAUUCUUAGCAGAAAUCCGACUUGAUGAUAACAUGCUGACGGGCCCGAUUCCAGACCUUGCCGCCUCUUCGAACCUCUCAAUCAUUCACUUUGAGAACAACCAGCUUACUGGCAGCGUGCCUUCAUAUUUGAGCAGCUUGCCCAAGCUCACUGAGCUCUAUCUUCAGAAUAACAAGCUGUCUGGUUAUAUCCCCAAGGCUCUGAAAAGCAGAGGCAUUGUUUUCAACUAUGCUGGCAAUAUGGACCUGAAGGCAGGGAAUCAAGAGAAGCACCACCUGAUAAUCAUCAUAUCUGCGCUGCUUGGAGUAUCCUUGCUGCUUGCAGUUUCCCUCUGUUGCUACGUGCUGACACGCAAAGCCAACAAGAGAAACUCACCACCAGAAGAUGACCUUACCAAGGCGCCCCCGCCCGCGCACAAGCUGCAGAAGUCAGACGCGCCGUCGUGCGAAAUCGCCACCGAGACCUGCCAUCCCUUCAGAUUAUGCGACCUCGAAGAGGCGACCAAGAAUUUUGAGAACAGGAUCGGCUCCGGGGGUUUCGGGAUAGUGUACUACGGGAAGCUGCCGGACGGAAGGGAGAUCGCGGUGAAGGUGCCGACGAACGACUCGUACCAGGGGAAAAAGCAGUUCGCGAACGAGGUAUCCUUGCUGUCGAGGAUACACCACAGGAACCUGGUGGCGUUUCUGGGGUACUGCCAUGAAGACGGGAGGAACAUCCUGGUCUACGAGUUCAUGAUGAAUGGGACUCUGAAAGAGCAUCUCCAUGGGCGUGACAAGCACAUAAGCUGGAUUCAGCGACUUGAGAUUGCAGAGGAUUCAGCAAAAGGGAUCGAGUACCUUCACAGCGGGUGCACGCCGUCGAUCAUCCACCGGGACAUCAAGACGAGCAACAUCCUGCUGGACAAGCAGAUGCGGGCCAAGGUGUCGGACUUUGGUCUGUCGAAGCUGGUCGCGGAGGAGUCCCACGCGUCCACCAACGUCCGCGGCACGCUGGGCUACCUGGAUCCACAGUACUACAUCUCCCAGCAGCUGACGGAGAAGAGCGACGUGUACAGCUUCGGGAUCAUCCUGCUGGAGCUCAUCUCGGGGCGGCCGCCCAUCUCGGCCAUGACCUUCGGCGACCACUUCCGCAACAUCGGCCCAUGGGCCAAGUUCUACUACGAGAGCGGGGACAUCGAGGCGGUGGUGGACCCGGCCAUCUCCGGGGAGUACCGGGACGUGCACUCGGUGUGGAAGGUGGCGGAGACGGCUGUGCGGUGCAUCGACGCGGAUGCGAGGAGGCGCCCCUGCAUGGCGGAGGUGGUGAAGGAGGUGCAGGAGGCGAUGGCGCUGGAGCGGCCACCCAGCGAGGCGUCGGCGUCGGCGCUGGAGCGGAGGGCGUCGUUCCCGUUCUCGCCGGCGGGGGCGCGGUCGGGGACGGUGCGGUCCCACGACAUGAUCAUGGACAACCUGAUGCGCGAGGACGACGAGUCGUCUUCAUUCCCCAACACCCUCCGCCACCCCGAGCUGCGCUGA